rnacentral:rRNA from 1 species
ACUCAGCGGGGAGGAAAGUGUUGAGUAUAAUCCUCAUGCGAAUGUCGUGACCGCAGAAGAAGCACUGGCUAACUCGUGUCAGCAGCCGCGGUAAUACGAGGGGUGCAAGCGUUAAUCUGAAUUACUGGGCGUAAAGCGCACGCAGGGCGGUCUGUCAAGUCUGAUGUGAAAUCUCCCGCGCUCAACCUGGGAACUGCAUUCGAAACUGGCAGGCUAGAGUCUUGUAGAGGGGGGUAGAAUUCCAGGUGUAGCGGUGAAAUGCGUAGAGAUCUGGAGGAAUACCGGUGGCGAAGGCGGCCCCCUGGACAAAGACUGACGCUCAGGUGCGAAAGCGUGGGGAGCAAACAGGAUUAGAUACCCUGGUAGUCCACGCCGUAAACGAUGUCGACUUGGAGGUUGUGCCCUUGAGGCGUGGCUUCCGGAGCUAACGCGUUAAGUCGACCGCCUGGGGAGUACGGCCGCAAGGUUAAAACUCAAAUGAAUUGACGGGGGCCCGCACAAGCGGUGGAGCAUGUGGUUUAAUUUGAUGCAACGCGAAGAACCUUACCUACUCUUGACAUCCAGAGAACUUUCCAGAGAUGGAUUGGUGCCUUCGGGAACUCUGAGACAGGUGCUGCAUGGCUGUCGUCAGCUCGUGUUGUGAAAUGUUGGGUUAAGUCCCGCAACGAGCGCAACCCUUAUCCUUUGUUUCCAGCGGUCCGGCCGGGAACUCAAAGGAGACUGCCAGUGAUAAACUGGAGGAAGGGGGGGAGGACGUCAAGUCAUCAUGGCCCUUACGAGUAGGGCUACACACGUGUUACAAUGGCGCAUACAAAGAGAAGAGACCUCGCGAGAGCAAGCGGACCUCAUAAAAUGCGUCGUAGUCCGGAUUGGAGUUUGCAACUCGACUCCAUGAAGUGGGAAUCGCUAGUAAUCGUAGAUCAGAAUGCUACGGUGAAUACGUUUCCGGGCCUUGUACACACCGCCCGUCACACCACGGGAGUGGGUUCUUUAAGAAGAAGGUAGCUCAACCUGUGGAGCGCACUUUCCGGAGUAGUUUUCUGCGUCA